rnacentral:rRNA from 1 species
UUGCAGGCUGCAACUCGCCUGUAUGAAGUCGGAAUUGCUAGUAAUCGCGGACCAGCAUGCCGCGGUGAAUACGUUCCCGGGCCUUGUACACACCGCCCGUCACACCAUGAGAGCCGGGAACACCCGAAGUCCGUAGUCUAACCGUAAGGAGGACGCGGCCGAAGGUGGGUUUGGUAAUUGGGGUGAAGUCGUAACAAGGUACC